GAUGAACGCUGGCGGCGUGCCUAAUACAUGCAAGUCGAGCGAACGGGCGAGAAGCUUGCUUCUCUGAUGUUAGCGGCGGACGGGUGAGUAACACGUGGAUAACCUACCUAUAAGACUGGUAUAACUUCGGGAAACCGGCGCUAAUACCGUAUGAUAUUUUGAACCGUAUGGUUCAAAAGUGAAAGACGGUCUUGCUGUCACGUAUAGAUGGAUCCGCGCUGCAUUAGCUAGUUGGUAAGGUAACGGCUUACCAAGGCAACGAUGCAUAGCCGACCUGAGAGGGUGAUCGGCCACACUGGAACUGAGACACGGACCAGACUCCUACGGGAGGCAGCAGUAGGGAAUCUUCCGCAAUGGGCGAAAGCCUGACGGAGCAACGCCGCGUGAGUGAUGAAGGUCUUCGGAUCGUAAAACUCUGUUAUUAGGGAAGAACAUAUGUGUAAGUAACUGUGCACAUCUUGACGGUACCUAAUCAGAAAGCCACGGCUAACUACGUG
rnacentral:rRNA from 1 species